CCUGCGCGGAACGGGAGCUCGGAGCACCGGGCUGAGAGGGCGCUGACGGUACGCGGCCCGCGUACCACCUGCUGCGCCGACCGCAGGAACCUGACCGGGUAAUGCCGGCGUAGGGAGUUGAAGGUCCGAUGAC
rnacentral:ncRNA from 1 species